GCAUGGACGAUAGGUGAAAUGUGCUUCGUUUGUUUAGUGAGAAUUCCAGCUUGUCCCUUUGUGCAGGGUCACUGGAGUUUCUGUGGACUUGUUAACCUCGCCUUCACCUCGGGUGAUUGAAAGAGGCAGGGCUGGAAAAAUCCCUCGGCGUUGCUUUGAAACACUUGAUACUCGGUAUCAACUAAAAGAUGAGGAUUGCUGGAAAACUGUCUGUCUUGUCAAAAUAUUUUGCAGCGCAGGAUGGAGGUACUUCUACCUGUGUAGCCUGUGGAUAAACUGUAAUGAAAGCGGUUGACGACUGAGCACAAGUUCUGUGAGAGCUGGGAAAAAGGUCAAGCUGCAUCCAGCUUAAGGUGUGAACAAAGGUGGCCCCUGGGCUGAGGCUUCUCAAAGGAAGGUUUGGUCUGGAGUUUGUUUUCAUGGCACAGGUGAAGACCUUUGGAAAAGAACUUUUAUCAUGGAAACAAAGUGUCUAUAAAUAUUAACUAAACCAACAGAAUACUUUUUUAAAAAGUUUCUGAGAUACUUCUUCCAUUUUCUCUGAAGAAAGAAUAUGUUGAGUGUUCUAAUUAUAUAAAGUUGUAUGAAAUUCCCCCCUCCAAAGUAUUGGAGGAAACUUAUUCUAAGUUCAAAACCAAAAUGAAAUGCUUAAUACAGUUGGUUUCCCUACUGCCCCUUUUAUAUGCACACUGUGUGUAUUGCAGGGGUUUGAGAAGUCUUGAGAACUGAAAAUGAAUGAAAAUGUUUCACAGGCCAAAUAUUUAAGUGUCCUGUCACAAUGGUAAAUAAACUUUAAAUAACAUCUUUGCAGAGUACAGCUUUUCUUAAACAAGCAGCAACAACAAAAAAAAUACUUUUAGGACAGUAAAAAAAAAAGUAAAUCAGCUUUAAAAAUGCAUAUUUAAACUAAGGAUUUGGUUUUGUUCUCUUUGUAAUGGAAGAAGCAACUGUUACAUUUUGAUGAAGCGAUACUAAGUCUUAGCUGAAGAAUUUUUAUUAUGUGUUUCUGUGAAUAAAGCUGUCAGCUACCCGUUAGAGAUGUCAUUGAUUAGAAAUACUGCCUACAGACACAGUGUAUGGAAUCCUCUCUUUUUGGAGUCCUUAACGGAGCGGAGCAGCAAAAGUGGUCUGAGUUUGGUUGUGAGGGUGGGAAGCUGCCCUGUAGGAUCCCUGGUCGCUCUCCUGAUGGAACAUCAAAAUAUUCUCCAUUCUUAUCUGUAUGCUCUGGUUUUUAAAGCUCAAGCACAAAAAAGUUAAUAUUGUGAGUAAUCACUGUAAUCGCUACGGUUAAUGUUUGAUUUUUGUACAUGGUUUACAUGUUUGUCUGGUUUCUUCAUUGCUCAAAGUAACCUGUUGUUAACUACAUAAAAAGGAGAUUCUAAAUACGGGUUUGCGUGUUGAAGCUGAUCAUGUCAGAAUCCUGGGGCAAACUCUAAAAUACUAAAAACACUCACUAUAGAAACUGUUCAGUUAUUACCGAGCCCGAGUUAGGUUUUGAUGUGCUUCUAUAUGAUUAUCUUUAAUGUAUUUUCUGAUCUAGCCUUAAAAAUUAUUUAAUGUAACUGCAAUUUGGCCAAUUAGGUGACUUCAGCCACGGUUUGUUGAUGGUUCUCAAUGUUUUGUUUUUGGUUUUUUUGUUAAUGUGAAUACUGCAGCCUUGCAUCAAUUCAAGUUUCAUAUGAAGGACUCCUGUACAUUAAGCAUAUACAUCAUGUGUGAAACGCUGUUGUGUUCUAUGCUUAAAAUUGCUGGAUAGCUGAGCAUUUGCUGAAAUGAGCUGCUGAUUGUUGGGUGGUUGGUUUUUUUUUUUUGUGGCUUAUAAUACUCCUUUGUAGAUCUGCUGGUAUCUUGUUUGUCCCUCCUGCAUCUGGACAAUGCAUUCCUUCAUGGUUUGUGUAACAUCCUCUUCAGUGAUUUCUGUGUAUGCAGAUACGGUAACUGGAAGGAGAAAAUUCUGUUCUUGAAUCGUCCCACUUCCCCACACCCUGGCAUAGCUGGGGUGUUGGUCAUUAAGGGGAAUUUAGAGCAGUAUUGAUUGUUGGUAUCCAGGAAUUCUGGGGAAAAGGGACAAAAAUGAGCAUUAGGAAACUGUAAAUUUUCUGGCAACACAGAUUUAUACUUUGAGACCCUUAAGAUCAAUGGGGGAGUGCUAUAGGCAGAAUGAAA